rnacentral:snRNA from 1 species
AGUUUUGCGCAGUGGCAGUAUCAUGGCCAAUGAGGUUUAUCUGAGGCGUGAUUAUUGCUCACUGAAAACCUUUCCCAAUACCCCACCAUGACGACUCGAAAUAUAGUUGGCAUUGGCAAUUUUUGGCAGUCUCCAAGGGGA